GAUGCCAUCUCAAGUCAUGGAUCUGAGGCGCCACCUCUCCCAGUUCAGCAAUCCAACCGUGGCUGCGUCCUCCUUCUCUGAGGAGCAGUUUCGCCUUCCCACAGAGAGGCAGGUCGGAUUUUGGAAGCAGGAGUCGCUGCAUCACAUUGG